rnacentral:rRNA from 1 species
GUGUCAGCCGCCGCGGUAAGACGGAGGGCGCAAGCGUUGUUCGGAAUUACUGGGCGUAAAGCGCACGCAGGUGGUCCCUUAAGUCCACUGUUAAAUCACGGGGCUCAACCCCGGAGGUGCAGCGGAUACUGAGGGACUGGAGACCGGUAGAGGCUAGCGGAAUUCCUGGUGUAGCGGUGGAAUGCGUAGAUAUCAGGAGGAACACCGGUGGCGAAGGCGGCUAGCUGGGCCGGUUCUGACGCUCAUGUGCGAAAGCGUGGGGAGCAAACAGGAUUAGAUACCCUGGUAGUCC